UACGUAGGGGGCAAGCGUUGUCCGGAUUUAUUGGGCGUAAAGAGCGUGUAGGCGGCCUGACAGGUCUGCUGUGAAAACUCGAGGCUCAACCUCGAGAUGUCGGCGGAAACCGUCUGGCUAGAGCCCGGAAGAGGAGAGUGGAAUUCCUGGUGUAGCGGUGAAAUGCGCAGAUAUCAGGAAGAACACCUAUGGCGAAGGCAGCUCUCUGGGACGGUACUGACGCUGAGACGCGAAAGCGAGGGGAGCGAACAGG
rnacentral:rRNA from 1 species